rnacentral:rRNA from 1 species
UACGUAGGGUGCAAGCGUUGUCCGGAAUUAUUGGGCGUAAAGAGCUCGUAGGCGGUCUGUCGCGUCGGCUGUGAAAUCCCGGAGCUCAACUCCGGGCCUGCAGUCGAUACGGGCAGACUGGAGUUCGGCAGGGGAGACUGGAAUUCCUGGUGUAGCGGUGAAAUGCGCAGAUAUCAGGAGGAACACCGAUGGCGAAGGCAGGUCUCUGGGCCACUACUGACGCUGAGAAGCGAAAGCAUGGGGAGCGAACAGG